GUGACCUAUUGUUGACAUGGAAGCUGCAUUUGACUUUAGACCAAUGAAACCCAGUUUGAUUUGGAUCUGUGAAUCCAGGGACAAUCACAUCCCCUGUUUCUGCCAAGCAAGUUUCCUCAGGCUUCUUGGCUGAGGAAACGCAAAGGGAAGAGAGCGGCAAAAAAGGAGAGAACAAAAUGCCAUUUUAGAGUUUGAAGCAUGUAUUAUGAGUGGCCUAGGUGAAGAGUGAAAUACAUGAUGGCACUGAGAUGGUGACGCUCUCUUUAGAAGAGGCAGAAGUAAAUAAACAAACAAAUGAAUAAUAAAUAAAUUUGAAAAGCUUCAGUUGGGCAAUACCGUCAUCAAGUGAAGGAAAAAGCUGAAAAGUUG